rnacentral:rRNA from 1 species
GACGAACGCUGGCGGCGUGCUUAACACAUGCAAGUCGAACGGAGUGGCGAACGGGUGAGUAACACGUGGGUGACCUGCCCUGCACUUCGGGAUAAGCCCGGGAAACUGGGUCGACUACUGGAUCGUGUGGGAUGGGCCCGCGGCCUAUCAGCUUGUCGGUGGGGUAAGGGCCCACCACGGGGGCGACGGGUAGCCGGCCUGAGAGGGUGGACGGCCACAUGGGGACUGCGAGACGGCCCAGACGCCUACGGGGGGCAUCGGUGGGGAAUAUUGCACAAUGGGCGGAAGCGUGAUGCGGCGACGCCGCGGGGGGGAAGACGGCCUUCGGGUUGGAAACUCCUUGCGGCAUCGACGCGGUAGAUGGAGAAGAAGCACCGGCUAACUACGUGCCAGCAGCCGCGGUAAUAC